UACGUAGGUGGCAAGCGUUGUCCGGAAUUAUUGGGCGUAAAGCGCGCGCAGGCGGCCUCUUAAGUCAGGUGUGAAAGCCCUGGGCUUAACCUAGGAAUUGCGCUUGAGACCGGAUAGCUUGGAGUGCGGCAGAGGGAGGUGGAAUUCCACGUGUAGCAGUGAAAUGCGUAGAGAUGUGGAGGAACACCGAUGGCGAAGGCAGCCUCCUGGGCCAGCACUGACGCUCAUGCACGAAAGCGUGGGGAGCAAACAGG
rnacentral:rRNA from 1 species